rnacentral:rRNA from 1 species
GGGUUAGUAGGUUGGUCAUGCCUCCGGUAUGUACUGGUCUCACUGAUUCCUCCUUCCUGAUGAGCCGUAAUGCCAUUAAUUUGGUGUUGCGGGGAAUUUGGACUGUUACUUUGAGAAAAUUAGAGUGUUCAAAGCAGGCAAACGCCCGAAUACAUUAGCAUGGAAUAAUGAAAUAGGACGUUCGAUCCUAUUUUGUUAGUUUCUAGGAUUGACGUA